AAAAAAAAGGUUACAUUAGCUAGAGGUUAAUUGUUUUUGUUGACUGGAGGGAAAGUAAUUGUUAGCAGAGAAUCGAGACGCUCCUUUCCUCCUUCUCCUCUUGUUUUGGUACAUUUCGUAUUUUAGCACCGCCGAGGGAGAAGAGAGAGACUGAGUGAGAUAUGGAUUUGGACCAGUGGAUCUCGAAGGUUAAAGACGGCCAACACCUUCUCGAAGACGAACUUCAACUUCUCUGCGAAUAUGUUAAAGAGAUUCUUAUUGAGGAGUCCAAUGUGCAACCUGUGAAUAGUCCAGUAACUGUUUGUGGUGAUAUUCAUGGUCAGUUUCAUGAUCUAAUGAAACUUUUCCAGACCGGUGGUCAUGUUCCCGAGACAAAUUACAUUUUUAUGGGGGACUUUGUUGAUCGGGGUUACAAUAGUCUUGAAGUAUUCACCAUCCUUUUGCUUCUAAAAGCUAGAUACCCGGCUAAUAUUACCCUUCUACGUGGAAAUCAUGAAAGUAGACAACUCACCCAGGUCUAUGGAUUUUAUGAUGAAUGCCAGAGAAAGUAUGGAAAUGCUAAUGCUUGGCGAUACUGUACCGAUGUCUUCGACUAUCUUACACUUUCUGCAAUUAUAGAUGGAACUGUGCUUUGUGUUCACGGCGGCCUUUCUCCAGACAUUCGAACAAUUGACCAGAUAAGAGUCAUUGAGCGGAACUGUGAAAUUCCUCAUGAGGGGCCAUUUUGUGAUCUAAUGUGGAGUGAUCCUGAGGAUAUUGAAACAUGGGCAGUCAGUCCGCGUGGAGCUGGUUGGCUUUUCGGAUCUCGGGUUACAUCUGAGUUCAAUCACAUAAACAACCUUGAUCUUGUUUGUCGAGCACAUCAACUUGUACAAGAAGGCCUUAAAUACAUGUUCCAAGAUAAAGGCCUUGUAACUGUAUGGUCUGCACCUAAUUACUGUUACCGUUGUGGAAAUGUAGCUUCUAUUCUUAGUUUCAAUGAAAAUAUGGUGGUAAAUGUACAUAAUUCACUGUCAAGCCUAAUGAAAUUACUGUCUUGCAAUGUGAAUGCUUGAGUGUUGCAACAUUUUGUUGGUGCGAGGGAAAUGUUUAGAAAAUAAUAUAUGCGACCUGGAGAGAGAAGUUAAGUUUUUCACUGAAACAGAGGAGAACAAUCAGAUGAGAGGGCCAAGGACAGGUGUUCCGUAUUUCUUAUAAUUUGGUGAAUAUUUGACUGAAUUUAUUGUAAAAUUAUUUAGUAAAUGGCUUACUAUUAUGAUUGGAUAGUGCUAGUCAUGUAUCGUUGAGAUUCAAAUGCAUUGUUUUUUCUUAGGUGAACCCUAUUUUUGUUA